rnacentral:rRNA from 1 species
GAUGAACGCUGGCGGCGUGCCUAACACAUGCAAGUCGAACGAAGCACCUUACCUGAUUCUUCGGAUGAAAGUUUGGUGACUGAGUGGCGGACGGGUGAGUAACGCGUGGGUAACCUGCCCUGUACAGGGGGAUAACAGCUGGAAACGGCUGCUAAUACCGCAUAAGCGCACGAGGAGACAUCUCCUUGUGUGAAAAACUCCGGUGGUACAGGAUGGGCCCGCGUCUGAUUAGCUGGUUGGCAGGGUAACGGCCUACCAAGGCAACGAUCAGUAGCCGUUCUGAGAGGAUGAACGGCCACAUUGGAACUGAGACACGGUCCAAACUCCUACGGGAGGCAGCAGUGGGGAAUAUUGCACAAUGGGGGAAACCCUGAUGCAGCAACGCCGCGUGAGUGAAGAAGUAUUUCGGUAUGUAAAGCUCUAUCAGCAGGGAAGAUAAUGACGGUACCUGACUAAGAAGCUCCGGCUAAAUACGUG